rnacentral:rRNA from 1 species
UAAUACUCCAUAGAUUAGAGACACUGGAAUGUUCUGUAGUCGAAAGUUCUGGCGCCUUAGGAUGGAUCUGCGGUCGAUUAGGUUGUUGUUGGGGUAACGGCCCAACAAGCCUGUAAUCGAUACGGGUUGUGGGAGCAAGAGCCCGGAGAUGGAAUCUGAGACACGAUUCCAGGCCCUACGGGGCGCAGCAGGCGCGAAAACUUUACAAUGCAGGAAACUGUGAUAAGGGAACUCCGAGUGCCCGUAUACGCGGGCUGUCCAGGUGUUUAAAAAUCAUCUGAAGAAAGGGCCGGGCAAGACCGGUGCCAGCCGCCGCGGUAAUACCGGCGGCUCGAGUGGUGGCCACUAUUAUUGGGCUUAAAGCGUCCGUAGCUGGACCGAUAAGACUCUUGGGAAAUCCGCCGGCUCAACCGGCGGGCGUCUAAGGGAUACUGUUAGUCUAGGGACCGGGAGAGGUGAGAAGUACUCCGGGGGUAGGAGUGAAAUCCUGUAAUCCCCGGGGGACCACCGAUGGCGAAGGCAUCUCACCAGAACGGCUCCGACAGUGAGGGACGAAAGCUGGGGGAGCGAACCGGAUUAGAUACCCGGGUAGUCCCAGCCGUAAACUAUGCGCGUUAGGUGU